GCAUCGGUGGCUCAGUGGUAGGGCCUGCCACGCGGGCGGCCAGGGUUCGAUUCCCGGCCGAUGCA